UACGUAGGUGACAAGCGUUUUCCGGAUUUACUGGGCGUAAAGAGCGCGCAGGCGGUCGUUCAAGUCGAGUGUGAAAGCCCCCGGCUCAACUGGGGAGGGUCAUUCGAUACUGAUCGACUCGAAGGCAGGAGAGGGAAGUGGAAUUCCCGGUGUAGUGGUGAAAUGCGUAGAUAUCGGGAGGAACACCAGUGGCGAAGGCGACUUCCUGGCCUGUUCUUGACGCUGAGGCGCGAAAGCUAGGGGAGCAAACGGG
rnacentral:rRNA from 1 species